UAAUAGGUAGUGAACGCCGCUUGAAUGCUUAAUGCACCGUGUUUCUAGGUUUAAAUUGACCAAUCAUUUCCCGCGCGGCGAGGAGCGGCUAAUUACUCUCCUCGCCGGACUAUAUUAAGCCAAUCAAGAGAGGUUUAUCGCUCAGUCGUCGAUCCACCCUUGUCACGGUUGACCGCGCGUUUUAUUUCAAGUUUUUCUUCCAUAAAAAUCAUACACUGUAUCUAUUGAAAUCAUCUUCUUUUCUUGUCUCUCUCUCUCUUUCUCUCUCUUUCUCUGUCUCUCUUUGAUUCUGUUUUUCGUCUUCCUCUCGUGCGCGCGCGAAUCGCGCGAUGCGGGAUCGGUCGAAAGGGGCUUCGAAGAGAACAGCGGGUUCAGUCAUGCUCGAUCCUUCUACUCGCGAUUAUCGUAUCUUUCUCGGUUUCAAAUUGAUUAUGUUCUACAAAGAUCUUUUUUUUUUUUCUUUUUUCUUGUAGAAUAUCUAUCAAUUUCGUAUUCCUUAAUUGGUUCCUGUGCAUCGUAACGAGGAGGAAGGAGAAGAGGAGAGAAACAAAAAAACAAGCGAACGAAAGAAAGAAAUUGAUCUUGGUUUUGUGAAUCGAUCAUGGAAUUAACUCCUUUUUUUCACAUUAUUUUGAUUGGUUUGUAUUUUGUAUCGAUGAAGAUAAAAAGAAAAAUUAUUUUAUUCGUUAUUUUUCAUGAAAAAAAAAAACAAAAAACAAAGAAAUAAAAAUAAAAUAAGAAGUGUUUUGCUGUGAGUUCGAAAUGAUUCAGGAAGCGCGGACAAUCUUGAAUAGAGCCCGCCUACACAAAAAAACUUAUCUUGCUGUGUGUGUAAAUUAAAUAACGAAGGAUUUUCGUGUUCAUACACAUUUACAUAUAUAUAUGUAACACGCAUACAUUUUUCUUUCAUGUCAUUUUUGUUCCAUAAAAUUCAUCAAAUGGUAAAGAUCGUGAGACUUCCGCCGAUUGUUUUAUUUAUUACGGAGACAAAAUUUGCUAAUGUUAGAUAAUUAUCGCUUCGUAUUGACCGAAUUUAUAUUCCUGACGAAUUGAAAGAAUAAGAAGAAAAGAUAGAGACAGAGAGAGAGAGAGAGAGAGAGAGAGAGAGAGAGAAAUCAGGAUAACACGUGUCUGCCAUUAUGAGUACAGUGGUAACUUUUCUUUGCAACGAUAAGUCGAAUAAAAUCGCUAACUAAAAAUAUGAAUCUCGUUAUAUUAAUGAUUUUUCUUUUAUAAUUUAUUGUUAAUUUCAAAUGUUCUUUUUUUUUCUUUUCUUUUCUUUAUAAUUAAAGCAACGAAUACUAUUAAAGACAGUUCAUCGGUCAUUUUGCGAAUCAUCUUACUUUCAAAUUGUACGCGGGCACGAGAACAUUCUCUCUCUCUCUCUCUCUCUCUCUCUCUUUCUCUCUUUCUUCAUUUUUUAUUUUAAAUUCGAAAGAACAUUAUUGCGAAACGUUGACUUGACUUACUAAAACACGAAUCUGAUUUGCCUCGCAGAUUUGUCGUAGUCGGCUUAUCGCGUGUGUCUGUUUCAUUGCGAAUUCAUUAGAACAAAAAAUUACGUAAAGAAAUAUUGAAAAAUAUCAAAUAACAAACGUGCGAAUUAAAAGAAACCUCGCGUGGAUUAAUAAUCAUCGCAACACAAAUUGGAUCGUAUAAAAUUCUCGUCAAUUAGGUAAAAUUGGUGUGAUACGGGUAAUAUUAUACUUCGCUAAAUUCGAAUUAUAUUCGUCGAUUUCCUCUCGUUAUUGAAAUUAUGUCGAAUCACGAUGAUUUGUCGUUUUUCUUUUUUCUUUUUUUACAAAGUAAGCUUUAUGUUAAAAGAGUGCCUAACUAGUUCGAUAUACAGAAAAUGACCCCACUGUUUAUCGCUCCUCUAUUUCUGACGUCAUUGUUCCACGCGGAGGCACAUCUUCCGCGUUCGGUUUGCUUCUAUCGAAACUCUCUCGUCGUUCUAACGCAUAAGUCGUUUAGUUUAUAAGCAAACUAUAAGUAAGAAACUAAACGAAGAUAAAAGUAAAAGAAGAAAAAACAAGAUUGAGUUAGAAAAAUAUUCCGAAUGAUUCAACGAAUCAAUAAAUUACUGUUUUAGAUAUUAUCAAAAUUAAAUUUAAUGAAUUAAUUUAAUGAAAAAAAAAAAAAAAAAUGUUUAAUCGAUUGAAUAUUUUUCUUUCUAAUCGUUAUCAACCAUUUUCAUCGAAGUCGUUUAAUGUAAUGGACAUAGUUCCUCGGCUAACACAAGAUUUAAUUACGAAGAAUUUCCAAUAACAGAGAAAAGAACAAAAAAAGUGAGAGAGAGAAAACGUAGAGGAACGUUAUUAUUAGAGAGACAACAUUUUGUUGUUCUGAAAAUACGAUUUGCCCUAUGGCAGCGUUUAUCGGUUCGACCUCGCGACCUCGGCCGAUAGGAUAAGAAAUAUGAAGACGAAGGAAGGAAUAGCCCAUAACAAUAAAUCGUCGUAGGGUCAAGAUACCACCGAUUAUAUUCUCCAUCUAAGGACGAGAAAACUCGAGGACGAGAUUACUGUCUUGAAUUUUGUCGAAGUCGAUCCUCGGUCGUCGUCUCGGUUCGUCGAAUGAACGAACCUUCCUUUCGAUGAGUAAGCGGAAGUCAUAGUUACGAUCGUUUACCGCCGGAAAGAUUUAGCGCGCGCGCGCACACGCACACGCACGUUCUCCUUCUUCCAUCAUUGUCCUCUUAUUUCGAUUCAAAGGUGAAAUUCAUUUCCUGAUCUACUCCAACGCGAAUCUUAUUAAUUUCCAUCUUAUAAAAUAAAAAAAGUAUCAUCAAUUAUAUUCGCAGUUCGAUCAAUCCAAUUAUCGCGUAAAAUAAUAAUAAUAAUAAUAAUAGAAAAAGACGGUUAUAUUUGAAAAUCUAUCGAAUAAUUCCUUCUCUUUUCCCCUUUUCCAUAUUCAAAGAUCCUCAUUUUCGUGUUAGCUAACUCGACGAGUUCUUAGAAAAAAAAUACUACUCCAGGUUUACGGUUUGUGCACCACUGGUCGACACUGCACAUCAUUAACAGGCCGUACCCGCAGACAAGGCAUUUUGAAAUUGAAAGGGCAAGCUGUUUUACGAACAUCGAGAGGGAGCCGGCAUUAGUGGGAAUUAGCGUUAAUUGGUGUUCUUCUCUCCCUCUCCCUCACCCUCUCUGUCUCUCUCUCUCUCUCUUUUUCUCUCAAACUCUUCUGGUCCAUCCUGCCUUCGUUUCUUCUUUCUUCCCUCCCUCUCUCUCUCUCUCUCUCUCUUCCGUUGCACUAACACACGAGUAUUCAUUGCUCGUUUAUAUACUAUAUACUUAUUUUUCCAUCCUUCUCUACCUUUUUUUUCUCUUCUUAUUAUUUUUUUGCAAGAGCGAUAACACGUCUCUACAGAACACAAGAAAGAGAGAGGAAGAGAGAGAGAGAAAGUAACGUCAUGCGUGGACACGCAUGUGCUUGCGACACGUUUAUGUAUCCAACCAAAUUUGCAAGUCUCGGCCUUUGCCUGCAUCUUCUUUUCUCUUUCUCUAACUCUCUCUUUAAUCCUCUUUUAUGCAGCUUUACGUCGUCUUCUUCGACGUACAGAUGCAACAGCAUCUUCUUUUUUACAAUCUCUUAAAACUCGUUCUUUUUUCUUCUCUUUAUAUUCACAUAGAGAGGUAAUCUUUUCAUUAUAAAAUUACGUACAAAUCAACGACGAAUCUUUCGAUCGAGAAAAACAAAACAAUUUUUCAAUUUGUAUCUUAUUCAUAAUUGAAACUCGACGACUAAUAUCGCAAGCUCGAUUUAACUCGAUUUAUAGCUCGAUUUUUUCUUAAGAGAAUUAAAUUAAGUGAUACGAAUGCAAUAUUAAACGAGAAAACAAAUAAAUAGAUUGUUAUACAUUUAACAUAUCAAAGAUUUGAUUACUUCGUAUACGUUUUCAUGUAAAAUAAAUCAUGCUCUUGACAGCAUAUGUUCGAUUAUGUUUCAAUCAUUUAUCCGGUUGAUUCAUUUCGACAAUAUUCGUGAGAACGUUUAACAUUUCAUUGAAAUAUCAAAUAGCAAGGGUAAAAUAGUAACAGGUUCUAUUAAGGAAUUGUAUGCGUUCCAUGAAUGUCCGAUAACUUAAAUACAGAAAGAAAAAGCUACUGAAAGAUAGGGGAGAAAAAGUGAAGAGACGCAGUAGUGGGCGAUUUUAAUGACUUCUCGAGGUCGGUUCAAUGAGUGCUAGUGUUUGUCAUUGCAUCAUUAUGGUAGAUGUACUCGCCGGUUGGGUCGGUCAGUCCGCCAUCGUGGAGUAAUAUUUAUUAAGUGUAUCUCAUUUGAACCGUUCAACAAAACGAUGAAGUUCCUGUUUUUUCCUCAAUAGCACAACCUACAAGAAAAAAAAGAAAUAAAACAUAUCUGUAAUAAGAAUAAUCGUAAAAUAGUCAUUAUUAUUGUGCGAAUCGACGAAGAUUAAAGUACAAGAACGUUCGUGACACUUUUUACUGACGUGAAUAUAACUAACACCACUGUUCUUCGUCUUCCUCGUUCCAUUCUUUAAUUUAUUACUUUAUAAAAUGACAGAAAUUAUAGAGAGUAGCAUUCGCCAUAGUCUUCGUUGUCGUUGUCGUUGUCGUUGUCGUUGUAGUUGUCGUUGUCUCAUUCUCCUGUCGAUUAUCUAAUUUCGUCGAACGAACUACCGACAAACCGUGGGCGAACUUAAUUAGGAUUUUCCUCCUUUCCUUCGAUCUAAUACUCUAAGUAAUCAUAUCUUCUUUUUUAUCCCUCCCUAACUCUUUUCAGAAAGAUAUUAUUCGUUUAAAGAUAGCAGCGAUAUUGAGAACUUUCAUAUUCUUGAAACUGAAGAUAUAUGAAAAGGAAAGACAAAGCGUGCCAUUGUUGUUGGAUUUAUGCUAGAAUGAAGGACAGAAGAAUUAGAUUGUUCCAGAAUUGUCAACAGUACGAUUGAAAAAGGAAGAUACUUAAUGAAAAAUUAUAAACAUACAAUGAAUAAUAAUACAUCCUGUCCUGUUCCUAAGUACUAGUGCCGCAGGAGUGAUUAGACUGGGUUAGAAAUUACCAUAUCUCCUGCUGCUCAAGUGCUUAUCAAUGGGUCGGGACGAACAUCUACUUUUUUUCUGACAUUCCAAAGCUACGAGUGACGAUAUUCUUCAGCAUACUUUAAACCAAUAUAAUAAUUCUGUCAUAAUUAAAUAUAAAAUAAAUGAACACAUGUUAAAAAAUAGAUAUGUAAAUAAUGAAGUAAUAAUAAAUUGAUUAAAGUAAUCAAUCACCCUACAUGUUUUGUUCAAUAAUGAGACUGAAUAAACAAUUUAAAAUAUUUUAA